UUGCUCUAAAAAUACGGAAAGCGGAUGCUUUUUUUAUUUUUCGGAAACCGAUUUCCUUUUUCUCUCUUCUUUCUUCUCGAUCUAUUUUUUUUUCUCUUUCUCUCUUUCUGAAGCAGUAACGGCGUCUCCUUCCUUCUUCUUCUCUUCUUCUUGUCUCUCAUUCUAGGUUAACUCUUUCCCCCUCAUUCUUCUUCUCCCUCUCUUCUAUUCUCUGUUGCUAAAUUGGUUCAGGAGUGAUUACAAAUUUCCAGAUCUGGAACACUCUUUCUUCUUCCUUUAAUCAACAAGGUAAGUUGAUAUAUUAAAACUUUCUCCAUUGAAAUAGAUUUUUAUUGUUCUUUAUAUAUGUAAAUUGAGAAUUCAAAAUUGCUUCUUCAAAUAGAUGGGGUUUUUAUUUUUGGGAUUUUGUGAGCAAGAAAACUUGUUAUUAAUUUCAAUAAAAAUACGAUUUUGAUAUUUUUCCAUGGAUGUUGAAAGCUAAAAUAAAGCUUGGUAUGACUGAUUUUAAUAUUUUUGGUGGGUUGUUGUUAUUUUGCACAAAUUGUUCAAUAUAUCCGUCAUCCUUGUGUCCAGUUGUUGUAGUUACUUAUUUGUUUACAAUACAAAUUGUAGGAACAAGCUAUGAAGGCUUUGGCGUAUUUUCUCGGCACCAAAAAGGAUAGGGCGUAUUUUCUCGGCAACUGAAUCUGCAAGUAUCAAACUCUAUUCGCCAUAGUUUGCAGGUAACAAUGUUUCUAUGGUACUAAAUUUUAUUACAAUGUCAGGUUUGUCGCAUGUACACCCAAGACCCUACACAAACUGUCGACUGGCAGACUGACGAGCUUGCGCACCUUAGUGCACAGUACCCACAACCAGCUUGUGUACCCAAUAGAUUGCAAUUCCUCCAACUACACGGCAUUUUAUACAAGUUUAUAGUUGAUCAAUGAACUUUUGUUUGUUCUAUGUUGUGUGUUCAACAUAGAAACAGAUUGUAGUACACUUAAAAUGACUUUCCUGUUAUUAUAUUUCUGAGAGUCAAAUGACAGGUUAUUGAGACUUGAAACCUCUGGUCAUGUUAAUAACCUGUUAAAACCUUAGUUAGAAACACAGACAUUGAAUGUUAUGUAAGAUGAGGAAGACAUAUACUGCGGCAGAAAAAGCAUAUUUGAAAAGGCUGUAGUUUCUUCAAUGUUUUUUCUAGUAUCAAUGAAUCUCUCUGGAUAGAACUCUUCCGCAUUACUAGACCAUACAUUAGGGUCUCUUCCAAUUGCCCAAGCAUUUAUAAUCACUCUAGAUUUCUUUGGAAUAAAAUAUCCAUUGAUUGUUACAUCUUCUGUGGACUCAUGAGGAAUGAGCAAUGGUGCAACUGGAUGAAUCCUCAUGGUUUCCAUGAUCACCAUUUUCAAGUAGCUCAACUUAGUCAAAUCUGUUUCGUCAACCAUCCUGUCCAAUCCAACUAUGUUUUCUAGUUCUUCUUGAACUAGUUUCAUUACAUGAGGAUGUUUUAGAAGUUCUGCAAUGACCCAUUCUAUUGCUGUACUUGAAGUGUCCAUUGCUGCUGCAAGCAUGUCUAUCAUGAUUGCCUUAAUAUUGUCUCGAUCUAGGUACAAUUCUCGUGUGUUUCUUGAUCAUAUGUUUUUAAUGAAAACUCAGUUUCCAAGACGACAUUUUCAAAUCCAUCCUUACAAAAAAAUAUCGGGAAAUCGUUGGUAAUG
rnacentral:lncRNA from 1 species